UACGGGUAGGGUGCAAGCGUUGUCCGGAAUCAUUGGGCGUAAAGAGCGUGUAGGCGGCCAUACAGGUCAGCUGUGAAAACUCGAGGCUCAACCUCGAGACGUCGGUUGAAACCGUAUGGCUAGAGUCCGGAAGAGGAGAGUGGAAUUCCCGGUGUAGCGGUGAAAUGCGCAGAUAUCGGGAAGAACACCCGUGGCGAAGGCGGCUCUCUGGGACGGUACUGACGCUGAGACGCGAAAGCGUGGGGAGCGAACAGG
rnacentral:rRNA from 1 species